rnacentral:lncRNA from 13 species
AAAAAAUUGUAGCUGGCAACAUAUUUAAUAGGAAAAGUGCUUUCUUCCUGAAUUGGAGAAAAGCCAACGUUAUUUUCUUUUACCACUUUUAUUCAACACUGUUCUGGAGGUCUCAGGCAAUGUAACAACACAAAAAAAGAAAAGAGAAAAAAUCAAGGAUACAAUUUAGAACAAAAGCUCAAAGUGUUAUUGUUUAUAGGGGAAAGAAUCAUCAAUGUAGAUAAUUCUAGGAAAACUACAAAAUAUCUAUGAAAAGUAACAAUGAAUAUAAGUGAGACCACAGGACAGGAGUCAAUAUAAAAAUCAAUUUGUUUUCAGAUGUCUAAAAAUCACAGGUCAGGGACUUGAAAAAUCCUAUUCUCCUCAAGAAAAAAAACAACACAAAAAGCACCAACAACUGGCAGAAUCAACAUUUUCAGGCUCUGGAAAUUAAACCCAGACUGUUUAUUCACAAAAAGCAGCUAAUUCUUGGUGAGAACAGAAGGUACAUGGCUUUUUGAGUUGGCCAAUCACCAUCUCUAGCUUUGAAAAACGGAAAGCCCUGUAAUCAAGGUCAGCACCACGGGUCUAGCAGUCACCAGCAGGAGGAGGACGUGGCUGGGGCAUCUUCCAAGCCUCCCCCUCAGAUAACUGUCCUCCCUUUACCUGUCAGGUGGUUCCCUGGAAGACUCACUUGCAAGACUGUCUUUGUUUCACCAGAGAUGAGCUCAACCAGUUCAAAAAGUCUUUUCCCCAGGAUGAACUUAACUUCAGUUCCUGCAGACAGCUGUGGAUUUCUGCCUCCUCCGAGUAUACCUCUUCAUCUGGAUCUGAUGUCUGCACCACCACUCAGCAGCAGAGGGUACGAUACUGGCCAACAUGUCCUAGAGUGACAUCUCUGCCAUGUGACUGUGUACUGGGAUUCAGUACAGUAGAGUUCUGUAUUCUGGAAAGAAAUCCCAGAAGUCAAGUGCCCUGUUAUCUCAUCAAGAGUCCAUACUACGAACAUGAACUGUCACUGCUGAUGUGGGCCGGAAUCACCUACCUGAAGUGUUUAUGUUUCUUCAUUGUACAAUUGCUACUUGUAAUCCUUUUUUAUACUGUGCUACUUGGAAGGAAAUCACUAUGUGCAGCCAACACUUAAGAAAUGAGAAGGAUCAGCUGGGCAUAAGUCCUUCUAGCUUCUUCGUUUUUCUUAUUCAUAAUCUCCCAUCCUGACAAAAUCCACUAUCUACAUAGUUCAAAUUUCAGCAUCAUGUAUAGUACAUGUAUAUAUUGUAUUGUUAAUCUGUAUUCUUUUAGAGAACAACUUGAUCCAUUAGAGUUGCGCAAUUUCUUAUGUCUUUCUCUUCUAUUUUCAUUUCACUCAUUUUCAAAGUUACUUAGCUCACUAACUUUUUCUCUUUUACAAUAUAGAUUUUUUUUUGUCACAUUAUGUAUUCCCUCCACUGACUGAUUCCCUGGAUGGUUUUUCUUCAUUUUCAUACAUUAAGAUCCACUCUUUAUGGUGUAAAGUGUAUGGAUCUCGAUAAAUACUUAGCAUGUACCCACCAUUAACAAACCACGCACUGUAGUUUCUCUGCCUUAAAAAUUCCUAGUGUUUUCCCUCUUCGACCUUCUUUCUCCUCAUACCUGUGGCAACCAGUAAGCAUUUACAGUCUCUAUCAUUUUACCGCUACACAAGUAUGCAGUAUUACAUCACACAGUAUGCAGCCUCUUUAGACUGGCUUCUUUAAUUUAGUGCUAAUAAAUGAGCCAAAGAGGACCUCUGUGAAUUGGCU